GAUGAACGCUGGCGGCGUGCCUAAUACAUGCAGGUCGAACGCUUUGUCUUUAACUGAUAUGAAGAGCUUGCUCCACCGGAAAAAGAGGAGUGGCGAACGGGUGAGUAACACGUGGGUAACCUGCCCAUCAGAAGGGGAUAACACUUGGAAACAGGUGCUAAUACCGUAUAACAAUCGAAACCGCAUGGUUUUGAUUUGAAAGGCGCUUUCGGGUGUCGCUGAUGGAUGGACCCGCGGUGCAUUAGCUAGUUGGGGAGGUAACGGCUCACCAAGGCGACGAUGCAUAGCCGACCUGAGAGGGUGAUCGGCCACAUUGGGACUGAGACACGGCCCAAACUCCUACGGGAGGCAGCAGUAGGGAAUCUUCGGCAAUGGACGAAAGUCUGACCGAGCAACGCCGCGUGAGUGAAGAAGGUUUUCGGAUCGUAAAACUCUGUUGUUAGAGAAGAACAAGGAUGAGAGUAACUGUUCAUCCCUUGACGGUAUCUAACCAGAAAGCCACGGCUAACUACGUGCCAGCCGCCGCGGUAA
rnacentral:rRNA from 1 species